rnacentral:rRNA from 1 species
UUCGUUAACGAACGAGACCUCGACCUGCUAAAUAGUUCGGCGAAGGCGUCAGCCUUCGUACGUGACUUCUUAGAGGGACAUUCGGUGCUUUAGCCGAAGGAAGUUCGAGGCAAUAACAGGUCUGUGAUGCCCUUAGAUGUUCUGGGCUGCACGCGCGCUACACUGAUGGUUGCAUCGAGCUUACAACCUUGAUCGGAAGAUCUGGGUAAUCUUUUUAACGACCAUCGUGCUGGGGAUCGAUAAUUGUAAUUAUUUAUCGUCAACGAGGAAUUCCUAGUAAACGCCAGUCAUCAACUGGCAUUGAUUACGUCCCUGCCCUUUGUACACACCGCCCGUCGCUAAUACCGAUUGAAUGGGUA